rnacentral:lncRNA from 1 species
GCCGCAACCGCCGCGACGAGUCCCAACGACGGCGCCAUCCCGGGCACCGCCAUCACGCCCAUCACCGCCACCACGGCGCCCGCCAGCAUCCUGGUGCGCAAGGGGUCGCGCGGCCGCCCCCCGUCACCCGUCCUCAUUUAGGAUGUGUCAGCAAUAUCGUGAAGAAUUUCCAGUUCAUAGAGCGCAGUUUCAACUUCUCAUCGUGGACAGUGAUAAAAACAAGCUUUCUUCAAAGAAGUAUUCACGACACAAAAAGUGGUGUGAACUUGCAGGCAUCAUUUGCCUUUUUGAAGGUGUGGUCCCUAACACAAACAGUUUUCCUUUUUUUUAAAGUGCGCAAGAAAUCUUAGUGCCUUUAUCAUUGCCUCAUUUUGGACAAGACCUCAAAUGAAAUAGGCAGUUUGAAGUGUAUUUUUACCUCAAAUGUGUGUCCAUCCAUGUGGCACGUCGACAAUAGAACUUUGUCGGGUGCUCAAAUUGAUCUCUCACAAGAUGUAGUAUUUUGUAAGAGAAAAAUUCUUUCAUACAAUGUUAUUUAAAUGUCAUUGUUGUUGUAUAGUUUUAUUAUAAGGCAGAGCAAGUUGUUGACAGUUCCUGUUUUCUUUAUUAUGGGUCAGAAAUGACUGAUUCAUUGAUUCAUUUCCGAAUCCUAUUGUUUCAGUCUCAGUCAUAUCUUCCAGUCCUUUAAUUUUGGAAAUUGUUUGCUCCUCUACCAGUAUUAAUAAGAAUGUUAAAAUCAUGCUGGAGAAAUGAUUCGCUCAUCCAAAUUUAGCGCUCAUUCUGAAUGAGAUUUACAAAUGUAGGAUUCCUCUCGGUUUUACUCUAAAAGACAAAGGGAGUGAAUAAUGUAUCGCCCUGUGGGCAGCUACAGCACAAAAAAUUAAAAAGCUUUCUUUCACUCAGUAGGAAAUGAAGCUAUAUUGGAAGAAUUGCCGCCGUCCUUCUUCAUUUGAAGAUACUGCCAGAAAGGCAAUAAAGGGUCAUUCCAUUCCAAAUUAAAUCAGAGAUUUAAGAAAUUUCGAAUACACUAUGUACUGUGAUUUAGUAGUCUCCCUAUAUUGCCAUUUUUUUCCUUUUGUCACUCCUUUUUCCUUGAUAGCAUUGCAUAGCAAUUAGUUUGGCAGAAGUUCUCUCCAUGAUUCUACCUUUAUAUUUUUUGUUUUGGAAUUGGACGGUGCUAUUAGAAGUUACCUCUGCAUGGAAUGACCCUUAAGAGUGUUCAACUCAUCCAUAUCUCUUUAUCACUGGUGGAUAUUGUGAUAACCAUUAAUGAAUUAUAUAUUGUAUAUAUAAUGUGAGUGAAAGAAUUUUUCUUUGUUCCUCUCUUGGCAAGAAUGGAGAUUUUAUUAUUAAUAAGUGUACUGUUAUUCAGAUGCUGAACUCAAGCUGACUUGCCAUUCAAGUAAAGAUAUUCUCAGUGACAGUUUGUUAUUGAGAGAAGGGAUAAUGCUUUGGUUAAUACUGGUGAUUAAUGUUCUGUAAAAAUAGUACCACUGAUCGGACAUAACAGCAAACACAGCAGAAUACGUAAAGUAAGGUCACUGUCUCUUCCAAUUUCUUUCAUUAAGGCUGUAAAUUCUUUACACAGCAAAAAAAAGUGGGUACUCUUUAUGGGCAAUAGGAGAUUCAAAAAUGGGAUCCAGAGUUGCCAUAUAAGCCACGUUGAGGCAUGUGUCAUUUCAGUUUGUACAGAUUGUUUUUCACAAUGGCUCAAUGUAAAUUAGAAAUCAUAUGGAAGCAUUCCCUGUUUAGAUGUAACUUUAUCAGACCAAUUUCUUCAAAUACACAAAGAAAUUUAGAGAUUCUAUUGUCCACUAAGGAAACUGAGCUUGCUAAUUUUUCCAUGCAUACUGGUGAAAGUGUAUGGGUUUAACUCUCAAAAAGAAGGCUGGUAACUGGCAUGUCUAAUUCCAGAGCUCUCUAGCUUACUCCAUGCUUAUGUAUGACUUUGUUUGUCUCUUUUCUAAAUGAAAUCAGUAGUGUAUCACAAUAUUUACCGAGUCCAUCAUAUGGAAUAUAUGAAAUAGAGAGAGCUUUGAGAUAAACACAUCUAACACAAUAAUUGCAUUUUUGUAGAUUAUGUGCUCUUCUCAUGUGUUUUGUGAAUAGAUCAUGAUGAAUCACCUCAUAUAACUACAUCUAAAAUAUUUUGUUUAGUCUGGUCAUGUAUUCAUAUGAAUGGUUGCAGUUUAAUCGAUUAUUUAAAUAAUGUUGUUUAUAUAACGUAUAUGAAACGUAAAUAAUUUUAUUGAACUGUAUUUGCUAAAAAAAUAGUACAGCAAAAGUAAAAGUAUCCAGUCUCUCCAAUGGAUCUUUUCAUUAUAUACAGAGAGAGGCUCAUAUGAAAAGGAUCUAGCCAUGUCCUAUCAUCUUAUUAUUUUUUCCAUAUGAAUUCUUCUGUUUGCUUUGUUCUUUUCUAUUGCAAACAGAAGAUGUAAAAGAGCAUGCCCUCAGAUUUUGGCCCUACAAUCUGCAGUUUUCAAUAUAUUAUUGUGAUAUCUUAUUCUGAGUUGCUUCACGACCAAUCAUUCCUACAUAAAUUGUUUUUAAUAAAAGUCCUUUCCCAGCAAAUUUGACUUGAAGAAUUAAAAACGCCAUGGCCAUGAUAAAUGAAGGGUAUUCGAAAUGUAGUUUUCACAAACUAAUGAAAAUUUCCUAUCCCUAAGCUAUUGGUGCUCAUUUUACCAACUUGGAAACGGCCUGUAAUAAAAUUUUGAAAAGUCACAUAAGAGGUAAAGUGGUGCAGUUGUCGUAUGGAUUCAAAUGUUUCAAGUAUUAUCCUAUUGCAUUUUUCUUAUGUAACAUUUUAGACAUAUAACAUUUCUUUCUUAAACUAACAGCUAGGUAGAAUUUUGGUGUUUCAGUUUCACCAGACAAGUUAUCUUGAAUUUCUGAUUGUUUAUCCUUUUUAAAUUGACUUUUGUGUGUGUGUAUGUGUGUUGUUUUCUAUUGUCUUGCUGUUUUCUCAAUGAGACUUCCGCCAUUGCACACUGAGUGUCCAGAGUGAGUUUUCUGACAUCACUUCGUUAGAGUUAAAACAACUCUCCAGGACAAUGUUGGCUCUGCUGUGAUUUCGGUACAUUAGGUACUUAAUGCUUACCUUAUGAGCUAUGUAUCAUAAGUAGUAUUGUAUAGAGUUUAAUUUAAAAAGUGUGCUAAAGAAUGACACAGGGCGAAUUAAAAUUUGUCUGCCUUGGUUUUAACUGUUCAAGAUCAUCAGAUUUUAUAAAAAUAAACAGGCUACACUGACAAGGGCUGUGUCUCUAAGGGUGGACUUUAAGGUAAUCCCGUUUUAGGGAUUUAGGAGGAAAGCAUGCACCUGUGUUUUAUAAAAAUGAGCCUUUAAGAAGUUCAUACAUUAUGAACUCCCUGAAGAAAAGCCACCAACAACUACAUGGCUAAAAUCAAGCUAUUUAAUGCAGGAAUGUGAAAGAUCUGUAUCUAGUCAUAACCCUUGUCAAACAACGCGUCUCUAGGAAACAUUUGAAAUAAAUAUCCAUUCUCUAUAA